rnacentral:piRNA from 1 species
UGAACUUCCGAGCCACGCAACCCUUGAAUGGG